AUUGAACGCUGGCGGCAGGCCUAACACAUGCAAGUCGAGCGAGCGGCGGACGGGUGUGUAAUGUCUGGGAAACUGUCCGUUGGAGGGGGGUAACUACUGGAAACGGUAGCUAAUACCCCAUAUCAUCUGAUGUGUCCAGAUGGGAUUUGCUAGUAGGUGGGGUAAUGGCUCACCUAGGCGACGAUCCCUAGCUGGUCUGAGAGGAUGACCAGCCACACUGGAACUGAGACACGGUCCAGACUCCUACGGGAGGCAGCAGUGGGGAAUAUUGCACAAUGGGCGCAAGCCUGAUGCAGCCAUGCCGCGUGUAUGAAGAAGGCCUUCGGGUUGUAAAGUACUUUCAGCGGGGAGGCGUUACCCGCAGAAGAAGCACCGGCUAACUCCGUGCCAGCCGCCGCGGUAAUUC
rnacentral:rRNA from 1 species